UAAGAGGAGAUUGCAUCCUACUUGCUCUAAUUGACUGAUGAUUCAGAGAGUCUUUGAUCAAAGUAAAAUAAAAAUUAGAAAGAGUUUCUAAUAUUUUAUUAAUUGAAUCAUCAUUAAAGAUUAAGAGAAAUAUGAAUAUGAUAUUGGAUUUGACAUCAUUUCAUAUUCAGAGUCAUAUUCGGGAUGCAGGUUGAUCGUAGAAUCAAAUUGCACGGUAACUUUCCAUUGAAGGA
rnacentral:lncRNA from 1 species